CCUGCUGCGGCUGCGCCGCCGCGGAGCACCGCCGCGGAGGGGGAUCCUCCGCCGGCCGGCGGCGGGGGUUUGGGGGAAGCUGGUGGGGCGGAGGAACGAGGCGGCGGCGGUGGAGGCCAUUGACGCCGGUGGCGCCUUCUCAGUCUUCUGGGUUCCCUUCGCCGGCUGCUGGCAUGGAAGUGGGGUUGACCUUGUGGGGGUUUGAAGCCACGGCGGUGGCGGCGGCGGCGGGCCUCCUCGAACGGAGGCUGUGGAUAACCGGCUCUGUUUUCUGUGAUGGAGAAAAUUUUGCCCCGCCAUCCCGCUCCCCCCUUAAGCUGGAGGGGGAAAGAUGAGGGUGGGCCCCAUAUAAACGGGCCGGGCUUUAAAAGCCCGGAGAUUAUGAACCGGGCCUUAAAAGCCCGGAGUGGGAGGUGGGCUUGUGAGGGCGCGGAGGGGUUAAAUUUAAAUUUAAAACAUAAAAUUCUGACCAAUAAUAUUUUAUUUUAAGGGACAGGCCAACUGAAGCUUCGAAAAUUUACAUUUGUAUCCAAUAUUUGGGAUACAUAUAAGAUUAGGGUAGGUUGUCGGCCUUUUAGGAUAUUAAAAAGAAUGACGCAUGAAAAAAGUGAAAAGGGGAAAGAGAAAGGGGUCACCUUGUGGAAAAUGGCGGGACCACCAG
rnacentral:lncRNA from 1 species